UGAGUGUCAAGAGUCAUGACUAGAGCUUCUUCUGGUUUAUCCUAGUUUAUAUUCUUUUUCCCUGCUCACAAUAUCAUUUCUUUAGCUUCUUCUAUUUCCUUUUCUUAUUUCUUCUAUAGAAGAAAAAUUGUAGAUAGCAUGAGAAAGGAAUCAUUGCAUAAUUAAAGAUAUUUUAGAGUCUAAAAUAUACCUAAGUUAUUGUGUGAUGCAUACAUGAUACAAUUCCUUAAAAUCAUGUAAACAAAGAUGAAUACUAGGGUCACAUUGGAUCAACUAACUAAUCUAAAUAAUCCAACUAAAAACAAUUUAACCCGAGAAGGUA
rnacentral:lncRNA from 1 species